UUAUUGUCUGAUUCAUCCUCUUCAAUGAUAGGCACAUCCCUUGUUCUAAUUCUUUCACGUAAAGAAUUAAAUUCAAAAUGUUGUGUCCCAAACAAUAUACUGUCAAACUUAACAUAGAUUGUAUAGUAAUCCUCACCUCCCUUGAAUGAACAACUUACUAAAAAUACAAAUAGUAAUGUUAAAAAUCUUUAUAUAUAUAGACAGUGAAUAUACAAUAAUUACCAGUAAGUAAAUGAUUUUACAAUAUAUUAUUUUGAAACAUCCUGUGCGUUAAAGAGAAUUAAAAAUAUUUCGAGUACUAAUUUUUAAAUUUAACAACAAAAUUAUAUUGCUGUUCAAAUAUGUGAAUAAGUUGUAAUAAACGUUUAAAAAUAAUACAAAGAAAAUAUACUAGGGAGAGUUGAGUAUAUUGGAAGGGAACCAUAACAAAAAAAAAAUUAAUCUGAGUGAGGUUCGGUUAGGUUAGGUUAGGUUAGGUUUUCAAAUACAGCCUUUUUAAAUUUUUCGCCAACAUUUUAUCCUACAACGCUCAAAUAUUAAUUUCAUAAAUUACAUUAGGUCCGAAUAAUNAUAAACGUUUAAAAAUAAUAUAAAUAAAAGAUACUAGGGAGGUAGAGUAUAUUGGAAGGGAACAUUAACAAAAAAAAAAUUUAUCUGAGUGAGGUUCGGUUAGGUUAGGUUAGGUUAGGUUUUAAAAUACAGCCUUUUUAAAUUUUUCGCCAACAUUUUAUCCUAAAACGCUCAAAUAUUAAUUACAUAAAUUACAUUAGGUCCGAAUAAUUAUAACCAUUAUGUUAUACCUUACUGAUUAAGUAUAUUAAUAUUACUUAUCCGGAAGUCACCGUUUACGUAUAAAAUUAAUCGGUUUGGUUUUUUUUUUUAAUACGUUUUGUGUUUCAGGACUACUAAUAAUAACCGACUUUAAGACAUACAAGCACUUGAGCAUUAUUUCAUAAACAG